UACGUUGGGGGCUAGCGUUGUCCGGAAUGAAUGGGCGUAAAGGGCGCGUAGGCGGCGCGGUAAGUCUGGAGUGAAAGUCCUGCUGUCAAAGUGGGGAUUGCUUUGGAUACUGGCGCGCUUGAGUGCCGGAGAGGUUAUCGGAACUCCCUGCGUAGCGGGUAAAUGCGUAGAGAUCGGGAGGAAAACCAGUGGCGAAAGCGAUUUUCUGGACCAUUUCUGACGCUCAUACGCGAAAGCUAGGGUAGUAAACGGGAUUAGAGACCCCGGUAAUCCUAGCCGUAAACGAUGUAGACUUGGCGUCGGUGGCUUAAACACCAUCGGUGCCGCAGCAAACGCGAUAAGUCUCCCGCCUGGGGACUACGAUCGCAAGAUUAAAACUCAAAUGAAUUGACGG
rnacentral:rRNA from 1 species